CAUAGUUGAAAAAUAUGUAGGUAGUAUUUUUUUUUAUAAAUAGUAAGUUUAAAUUUUGAUAAAAACUAAAAAUUACAGCAUGUUUAACCAAACUUCAUUCAGAAUCGUUUUAUGUUUUUAUUGAGUUAUGCCGAAAUAUAUCCCUUAGUGUUAGUCCAUAUUUUUUAAUGGUAUUUUUUAUCCAUUUCCAAUGUUAAUCUCGGCCUAUUCAUUAGCCUUAGUAAUGAUUUAUAAUUGUGAAAAGAUGUAAAUUAAAAUGUCUACUGUAUAUAACCUACUUGUUUAACUAUUCAAUUACAACAGUAGCACACAAAUUAGUAUUAUCAGUAAUAUUUAAAACUUAAACUUGAGUAUUCAUUGGGAGGGGGGAUUUAAAAUACCACAAAUAUUAAAUAUGAUACAAAUAUAUUUUUGUCUAAAUAUAAUCUUUAAAAGCUUAUGAAAAAAACUACUACAUUGCAUUUACCAUUUUUUUUAACCAUCAAGUUAAACUUAUAAUGAACUUCAAAUUAAAUUUUCAAGCAUUUAUGUUCAACCAAACCAUUUUAUCUACAACAUACUUACAAAAAAAAAAAAAAAAAAGUUGCUAUUACCGAUGAGUUCUAGUUGGAAAGUUGUGAAAGUAGGAUACCUAAAGUUAUUUGAUCUAACAAAGCUAACAAAAAAUGAUACAGAGAGAAAUUUGGUUGUAUAUAUUUUGAAAGGCUUUUAUUAUUUAUGAUUUUUGUCAAAAUUUGAUAUUAAAAAUAUAAAAAAAAAAAAAUAAUACAUUAUACAUUUUUUUUUUUUUUUUUUGACCAUUAAGUACGAUUUAAUUUUCAAGCAUUUCUGUUUGGUGAAAUAAUUCUGUUCACAGAGUACCUACCAAAUAAAAAUUGCAUACAAAACUCAAAAUUAAAAAAUCUAUAAAUAGCUCAAAAAUGGCUUAAUUUUUUUUUAAAUUUGACUAUGUCUAGAAAAGGCAAAAUAUAAUUUGUUUGUUAAAACUUUACAAAUAUUUAUAACUGAAUUACAACAAAAAAAUAAAAUUGAAAAUAAUAAAAGCAUUGUUUUCAUACAUUUUACCAUUCUUCCAAAGAAAAUCAAAAAGCAAAUUACUUGUAAGCAACUAGAUGCGCUCCCACAUCCCCAACGAAUUCCCAACACAAAAAUGUAUAACAGAAAUACUGUAUACUUAUCUAUUAAUUUAUUACAAAUAUUAUACAUUAAUUAUUUAAUUAUAAAUAUUAAUAUAUUAUUUAUUAUUAACAACAAAGCUAAAAAGAAUAUAAUUCA